AGUGAACGCUGGCGGCGUGCCUAACACAUGCAAGUCGUGCGCGAAAGGGAGCAAUCCUGAGUAAAGCGGCGAACGGGUGAGUAACACGUAGCUAACCUGCCUGGAUGUGGGGGAUACCCCGGGGAAACUCGGGACAAUACCGCAUGAUGUCUCCUGGGCGUCGGCCUGGGAGAGCAAAGCCGGGGACCGCAAGGCCUGGCGCAUCCGGAGGGGACCGCGGCCGAUUAGCGAGUUGGCGGGGUAAUGGCCCACCAAGGCGACGAGCGGUAGCCGGCCUGAGAGGGUGAUCGGCCACACCGGAACUGAGACACGGUCCGGACUCCUACGGGAGGCAGCAGUGGGGAAUUUUGCGCAAUGGGCGAAAGCCUGACGCAGCAACGCCGCGUGGAGGAUGAAGGUGCUCUGCAUUGUAAACUCCUGUCGGCCGGGAAGAAUCGGCUGAGUGCUAAUCAGCUCAGCCUUGACUGUACCGGCAAAGGAAGCCCCGGCUAACUCCGUGCCAGCCGCCGCCGUAAAAC
rnacentral:rRNA from 1 species